AAACUUAGAGCAGAGGCAAACUUAGAGCAAACUUUGUUUCACUUAGGCAUAUAUUCAGUAUUUUAAAGUGGUAAUCGCUUCGCAUUGGGGUGUUACCACAAUUGUGUAAUCGAGUUUUGUGAUCGAGUAUGUAAUCGAGUUUGGAGCACUUUGGAAGGAAGUUAAUCAUGCCGCCAUUUUCAUUUCCGCUUUGCAAUUUAUUCAACCCUCCGAUGGGAGCAGGUUU
rnacentral:lncRNA from 1 species